rnacentral:tRNA from 1 species
CGCGGAAUUACUCAAGAGGCUGAAGAGGACGGUUUGCUAAAUCGUUAGGUCGGGUAACCGGCGCGGGGGUUCGAAUCCCCCAUUCUCCGU